rnacentral:rRNA from 1 species
CAGCCGCCGCGGUAAUACGUAGGGUGCGAGCGUUAAUCGGAAUUACUGGGCGUAAAGCGUGCGCAGGCGGUUUUGUAAGACAGGCGUGAAAUCCCCGGGCUCAACCUGGGAAUGGCGCUUGUGACUGCAAAGCUAGAGUGCGGCAGAGGGGGAUGGCAUUCCGCGUGUAGCAGUGAAAUGCGUAGAUAUGCGGAGGAACACCGAUGGCGAAGGCAAUCCCCUGGGCCUGCACUGACGCUCAUGCACGAAAGCGUGGGGAGCAAACAGGAUUAGAUACCCCCGUAGUCCCUGUCUCUUAUAC